UACAGAGGUCCCGAGCGUUGUUCGGAUUCACUGGGCGUAAAGGGUGCGCAGGUGGCUUGGCAAGUUUGAUGUGAAAGCUCAGGGCUUAACCCUGAAAUGGCAUUGAAUACUGUUGAGCUGGAGGUUUGGAGGGGGGACUGGAAUUCUUGGUGUAGCAGUGAAAUGCGUAGAUAUCAAGAGGAACACCGGUGGCGAAGGCGGGUCUCUGGGCCGAUACUGACGCUGAGGAGCGAAAGCGUGGGGAGCGAACAGG
rnacentral:rRNA from 1 species